UAUGGUCAAGUGAAUGCUAGAACACUGUAUAAAAAGACCCUUGGGUCCUGAUCCUGUUUAUCUCAGAUCUACUUGAUGCUUCAUCAGGGGAAACUUAAGCCACCAGAUUGGGAUUCUAGUGCUGACUGGUCCACCCUGAAUAUGAUAUUGGACAUUGGACUAUAACCUAUGAACUAUUUCUGAAAGAACUCUUUGCAACUACAAAGCUCACCAUCUCUACUAUGUAUCUGAACCACAAGAAUUAAACUCAUGUCUGGGAAGCAUCAAGAGCAACUGUUUGUCCAGUGAACUGCCAUGAUGAUCGUUUGUUAUUUGAGCCCUGAAUUUCCAUUGCUUCAUUUUGAUGUGGCUGCUCUAAGAGAACAUCCAGAAAUGUUCCUGAACGUCUAGCGUUGGGCAGAAAAUCAGCAAACAUAAACAUGAGAAAGUGACAGCACCAGACUGCUUGGCUGAGUUAUAGUUUUCUUUAAGCAUGUGUCCGACACAACAAAUUAGAAAUGGCCUGGAUGAAGGUAACGGAUUUAAUAUAUUUUUUCUAAUAGGGAUGACUUGAAGC